rnacentral:miRNA from 1 species
UGUGGUGUGUGUGCGUGUGUGUAUAUGUAUGUAUACAUACAUACAUACAUACAUACAUACACACAAUGGAAUAC